rnacentral:rRNA from 1 species
UAAGCGCGAGCUUAGGAUAGUGGCGAACGGGUGAGUAAAAGGUAGGAAUCUACCCCUUGGACGGAGAUAGCUACUGGAAACGGUAGGUAAACUUCGAUAAGCCCGAGAGGGGAAAGUGGUGAGACAGCCGAGGGAUGAGCCUACUCUCCAUCAGGUAGUUGGUGAGAUAAAAGCUUACCAAGCCGAUGACGGAUAACCGGUGUGAGAGCAUGAACGGUCACAAGGGCACUGAGAGACGGGCCCUACUCCUACGGGAGGCAGCAGUGGGGAAUCUUGGACAAUGGGCGAAAGCCUGAUCCAGCGACGCCGCGUGGAGGAAGAAGUCCUUCGGGAUGUAAACUUCUGAACUAGCCGAAUAAAAGGCCUGUGGACACACAGGAGGAGAAAGUAGGCUAGGAAAAGUCCCGGCUAACUACGUGCCAGCAGCCGCGGUAAGACGUAGGGGGCAAGCGUUACCCGGAAUUACUGGGCGUAAAGGGGGCGUAGGCGGUAAAAGAAGUCAUCUGUGAAAACCUAUUGCUCAACGAUAGGCUAGCGGAUGAAACUGAAUUACUUGAGGGCACCAGAGGUAGACGGAAUUACCCGAGUAGGGGUGAAAUCCGCAGAUACGGGUAGGAACGCCGGUGGAGAAGUCGGUCUACUGGGGUGCACCAGACGCUGAGGCCCGAAAGCUAGGGGAGCAAACCGGAUUAGAUACCCGGGUAGUCCUAGCCGUAAACGAUGCUCACUAGGUGUAGGGAGUGAUAAACUCUCUGUGCUGAAGCGAACGCGCUAAGUGAGCCGCCUGGGGAGUACGUCCGCAAGGAUGAAACUCAAAUGAAUUGACGG